CGCAAAAGGAGUAAACACAUUGACGCACAUGUCAAAAACUACCAAGGAGAGAGAUACCUACUAUUCCCAUUGCAUCAUGAGUACCACUGGACGAUAGUUGUGUAUGAUGUUAAAGACAAUUUGUGGAAGCAUUACAACUCGUUGCGCCCAAGAACAAGCAUACAUGACCCGCAUAUCGACUAAGCACAGGAAAUUAGGAACUACAUUGAGCAUGUUGUGACCGUUAUUGGCGAGUCAUCACCGCUACACACUAAGUUAGCAGGCCAAAAUCCAGCACAACCAACCAAAAGUGUUGAUGUCUGUCCUCAACAAGGCGAUGACUCAGUGGACUGCGGACCUGCAGUAUGUUACAUCAUGCGGGCGCACGUAUAUCAUGAAGAAAUUGUGGGCAGCCUCAGUAGUGCAGAAUGGUGUGGACUACGAGAUUUGUUAGUGCAUAGUUUUUUGAAUCAUAAGAAAUCAGAGCUUCCUUAAAACCUAUAGGUGGGGGGUGUCCACCUACGAACUAACCAACAGUCGAUUUGAAUGUUAAUAUGGAAUGCGUUGAUAUUUUGACACAGCAACUGAUUGUAAAACAGUGAUACAACAUCUGUUAAUAGGAAAAAGGCAGCUGCGAAUUUUGAACUA